GACGAACGCUGGCGGCGUGCUUAACACAUGCAAGUCGAGCGGAAAGGCCCUUCGGGGUACUCGAGCGGCGAACGGGUGAGUAACACGUGAGUAACCUGCCCCAGACUUUGGGAUAACCCUCGGAAACGGGGGCUAAUACCGGAUACGACACAGCUUCGCAUGGGGUCUGUGUGGAAAGUAUUUCGGUUUGGGAUGGGCUCGCGGCCUAUCAGCUUGUUGGUGGGGUGAUGGCCUACCAAGGCGACGACGGGUAGCCGGCCUGAGAGGGGGAGCGGCCACACUGGGACUGAGACACGGCCCAGACUCCUACGGGAGGCAGCAGUGGGGAAUAUUGUACAAUGGGCGGAAGCCUGAUGCAGCGACGCCGCGUGAGGGAUGACGGCCUUCGGGUUGUAAACCUCUUUCAGCAGGGACGAAGCGUAAGUGACGGUACCUGCAGAAGAAGCGCCGGCCAACUACGUG
rnacentral:rRNA from 1 species